GAUGAACGCUGGCGGCGUGCCUAAUACAUGCAAGUCGAGCGAACAGAUAAGGAGCUUGCUCCUUUGACGUUAGCGGCGGACGGGUGAGUAACACGUGGGUAACCUACCUAUAAGACUGGAAUAACUCCGGGAAACCGGGGCUAAUGCCGGAUAACAUUUAGAACCGCAUGGUUCUAAAGUGAAAGAUGGUUUUGCUAUCACUUAUAGAUGGACCCGCGCCGUAUUAGCUAGUUGGUAAGGUAACGGCUUACCAAGGCAACGAUACGUAGCCGACCUGAGAGGGUGAUCGGCCACACUGGAACUGAGACACGGUCCAGACUCCUACGGGAGGCAGCAGUAGGGAAUCUGCCGCAAUGGGCGAAAGCCUGACGGAGCAACGCCGCGUGAGUGAUGAAGGUCUUCGGAUCGUAAAACUCUGUUAUUAGGGAAGAACAAAUGUGUAAGUAACUGUGCACGUCUUGACGGUACCUAAUCAGAAAACCACGGCUAACUACGU
rnacentral:rRNA from 1 species